rnacentral:rRNA from 1 species
UGAUGGCGACCGGCAAACGGGUGCGGAACACGUACACAACCUCCCUUUAAGUGGGGAAUAGCCCAGGGAAACUUGGAUUAAUACCCCGUAAUAUAUAGAAGCGGCAUCGCUUUUAUAUUAUAGCAGCAAUGCGCUUGAAGAUGGGUGUGCGGCUGAUUAGAUAGUUGGCGGGGUAACGGCCCACCAAGUCGACGAUCAGUAACUGGUGUGAGAGCACGACCAGUCACACGGGCACUGAGACACGGGCCCGACUCCUACGGGAGGCAGCAGUAAGGAAUAUUGGUCAAUGGACGCAAGUCUGAACCAGCCAUGCCGCGUGGAGGAUGAAGGUCCUCUGGAUUGUAAACUUCUUUUAUCUGGGAAGAAAUCCAUUUUUUCUAAAAUGGUUGACGGUACCAGAUGAAUAGGCACCGGCUAACUCCGUGCCAGCAGCCGCGGUAAUACGGAGGGUGCAAGCGUUAUCCGGAUUCACUGGGUUUAAAGGGUGCGUAGGUGGGCAAGUAAGUCAGUGGUGAAAUCUCCGGGCUUAACCCGGAAACUGCCAUUGAUACUAUUUGUCUUGAAUACUGUGGAGGUCAGCGGAAUAUGUCAUGUAGCGGUGAAAUGCUUAGAUAUGACAUAGAACACCAAUUGCGAAGGCAGCUGACUACACAAAUAUUGACACUGAGGCACGAAAGCGUGGGGAUCAAACAGGAUUAGAUACCCUGGUAGUCCACGCCCUAAACUAUGGAU